UACGUAGGGACCGAGCGUUGUCCGGAAUCAUUGGGCGUAAAGAGCGUGUAGGCGGCUCGAUAAGUCCGCUGUGAAAGUCCAGGGCUCAACCCUGGGAUGCCGGUGGAUACUGUCGGGCUCGAGUCCGGAAGAGGCGAGUGGAAUUCCUGGUGUAGCGGUGAAAUGCGCAGAUAUCAGGAGGAACACCAAUGGCGAAGGCAGCUCGCUGGGACGUGACUGACGCUGAGACGCGAAAGCGUGGGGAGCAAACAGG
rnacentral:rRNA from 1 species